rnacentral:rRNA from 1 species
UGGGGAAUCUUGCGCAAUGGGCGAAACCCUGACGCAGCGACGCCGCGUGAGUGAUGAAGGCCUUCGGGUUGUAAAGCUCUGUGGGGAGAGACGAAUAAGUGCAGCCCAAUACGCUGCAUGAUGACGGUAUCUCCUUAGCAAGCACCGGCUAACUCUGUGCCAGCAGCCGCGGUAAGACAGAGGGUGCAAACGUUGUUCGGAAUUACUGGGCGUAAAGCGAGUGUAGGCGGUCUCCUAAGUCAGGUGUGAAAGCCCAGGGCUCAACCCGGGAAGUGCACUCGAAACUGCGAGGCUAGAGUACCGGAGAGGUUGGUGGAAUUCUCGGUGUAGAGGUGAAAUUCGUAGAUAUCGAGAGGAACACCGGUGGCGAAGGCGGCCAACUGGACGAAUACUGACGCUGAGACUCGAAAGCGUGGGGAGCAAACAGGAUUAGAUACCCCUGUAGUCC